rnacentral:rRNA from 1 species
UGGGGGAUAUUGCACAAUGGGCGAAAGCCUGAUGCAGCGACGCCGCGUGAGGGAUGAAGGUUUUCGGAUCGUAAACCUCUGUCAGAAGGGAAGAAACCGCACUGUGCUAAUCAGCAGUGCCUUGACGGUACCUUCAAAGGAAGCACCGGCUACUCCGUGCCAGCCACCGGGGUAAUACGGAGGGUUCAAGCGUUAAUCGGAAUUACUGGGCGUAAAGCGCACGUAGGCUGCUUUGUAAGUCAGGGGUGAAAUCCCACGGCUCAACCGUGGAACUGCCGUUGAUACUGCUUAGCUUGAAUCCGGGAGAGGGUGGCGGAAUUCCAGGUGUAGGAGUGAAAUCCGUAGAUAUCUGGAGGAACAUCAGUGGCGAAGGCGGCCACCUGGACCGGUAUUGACGCUGAGGUGCGAAAGCGUGGGGAGCAAACAGG